CUCUGCGUAAGCCGGGCUCGGGCCGGUCC
rnacentral:sRNA from 1 species